GACGAACCGUGCGAAUGUUGUUCGGAAUCACUGGGCUUAAAGGGCGCGUAGGCGGGCUGUCAAGUCUGGGGUGAAAUGCCGCGGCUCAACCGUGGAACUGCCUUAGAUACUGACGGCCUCGAGGAAGGUAGGGGCAUGCGGAACUGUAGGUGGAGCGGUGAAAUGCGUUGAUAUCUACAGGAACUCCGGUGGCGAAAGCGGCGUGCUGGACCUUUUCUGACGCUGAGGCG
rnacentral:rRNA from 1 species